GAUGAACGCUAGCUACAGGCUUAACACAUGCAAGUCGAGGGACCGGAGCACGGGUGAGUAACAUGUAUCUAACCUGCCCUUUACUCGGGGAUAGCCUUUCGAUAGAAAGUUUAAUACCUGAUGUAAAGGAUGGGGAUGCGUUCAAUUAGGUUGUUGGUGAGGUAAUGGCUCACCAAGCCGGCGAUGGAAAGGGGUACUGAGAGGAAGGUCCCCCACAUUGGAACUGAGACACGGUCCAAAAUCCUACGGGAGGCAGCAAUGAGGAAUGUUGGUCAAUGGGCGUUAGCCUGAACCAGCCAAGUAGCGUGAAGGAUAAAGGCUUAUGGGUAGUAAACUUCUUUUAUAUAAGAAUAUGUAUUAUAUGAAUAAGGAACGGCUAACUCCGUGCCAGCAGCCGCGGUAAUUC
rnacentral:rRNA from 1 species